UACGGGGGGGGCAAGCGUUGUUCGGAAUUACUGGGCGUAAAGGGCUCGUAGGCGGCCAACUAAGUCAAACGUGAAAUCCCUCGGCUUAACCGGGGAACUGCGCUCCAUACUGCAUGGCUUGAGGGAGACAGGGGUAAGCGGAACUGAUGGUGGAGCGGUGAAAUGCGUUGAUAUCAUCAGGAACACCGGUGGCGAAAGCGGCUUACUGGGUCUCUUCUGACGCUGAGGUACGAAAGCUAGGGGAGCGAACGGG
rnacentral:rRNA from 1 species